rnacentral:rRNA from 1 species
GGUACCUGCGGCGUGCCUAACCAUGCAAGUCGAGCGAUCUCUUCGGAGAGAGCGGCGGACGGGUGAGUAACGCGUGGGUAACCUGCCCUGUACACACGGAUAACAUACCGAAAGGUAUACUAAUACGGGAUAACAUACGAAAGUCGCAUGGCUUUUGUAUCAAAGCUCCGGCGGUACAGGAUGGACCCGCGUCUGAUUAGCUAGUUGGUAAGGUAAUGGCUUACCAAGGCAACGAUCAGUAGCCGACCUGAGAGGGUGAUCGGCCACACUGGAACUGAGACACGGUCCACACUCCUACGGGAGGCAGCAGUGGGGAAUAUUGCACAAUGGGCGAAAGCCUGUUGCACCAACGCCGCGUGAGCGAUGAAAGCCUUCUGGUCGUAAAGCUCUGUCCUCAAGGAAGAUAAUGACAGUGCUUGUGGAGGAAACCCCGGCUAACUACGUGCCACCAGCCGCGGUAAUACAUAGGGGGCUAUCGUUAUCCCCAAUUACUGGGCGUAAAGGGUGCGUAUGUGGUUUUUUUAGUCUCAAAUGAAAGGCGCCG